UACGUAGGUGGCAAGCGUUGUCCGGAUUUACUGGGCGUAAAGGGCGUGCAGGCGGUCUGUUAAGUCUAGGGUGAAAGCUCCUGGCUCAACUGGGAGAGGUCCUUGGAUACUGGCGGACUUGAGGGAGGCAGAGGAAAGUGGAAUUCCCGGUGUAGUGGUGAUAUGCGUAGAUAUCGGGAGGAACACCAGUGGCGAAGGCGGCUUUCUGGGCCUUACCUGACGCUGAGACGCGAAAGCGUGGGGAGCGAACCGG
rnacentral:rRNA from 1 species